UCCGGUUUGUCACCGGCAGUCUCCCUAGAGUGCCCUUGCGUAGCAACUAGGGACAAGGGUUGCGCUCGUUGCGGGACUUAACCCAACAUCUCACGACACGAGCUGACGACGGCCAUGCAGCACCCGUGUUCUGGCUCUCUUUCGAGCACUUUCACAUCUCUGCGAAAUUCCAGACAUGUCAAGGGUAGGUAAGGUUUUUCGCGUUGCAUCGAAUUAAACCACAUGCUCCACCGCUUGUGCGGGCCCCCGUCAAUUCCUUUGAGUUUCAACCUUGCGGUCGUACUCCCCAGGCGGGGUACUUCCUGCGUUAGCGCCGGCACCCAGAGGGUCGCUCCCCCAGGCACCUAGUACCCAUCGUUUACGGCGUGGACUAC
rnacentral:misc_RNA from 1 species